rnacentral:rRNA from 1 species
AGGAUGAACGCUGGCGGCGUGCCUAACCUAUGCAAGUCGAACGAGGCUUCGAGCCUAGUGGCGGACGAGUGAGUAACACGUACCUAAUCUGCCUGUAAGUGGGGAACAACCGCCCGAAAGGGUGGCUAAUACCGCAUGUGCUCUACGGAGUAAAGCUUUUGCGCUUACAGAUGAGGGUGCGGCCUAUCAGCUAGUUGGUGAGGUAAUGGCUUACCAAGGCUUUGACGGGUAGCUGGUCUGAGAGGAUGAUCAGCCACGCUGGGACUGAGAUACGGCCCAGACUCCUACGGGAGGCAGCAAGUGGGAAUAUUGCACAAUGGACGCAAGUCUGAUGCAGCGACGCCGCGUGAGGGAUGAAGGUCUUCGGAUCGUAAACCUCUUUUAUAGAUCAGCAAGAUAUGAGCGGUCUAUGAAUAAGCACCUGCUAACUACGCGCCAGCAGCCGCGGU